rnacentral:lncRNA from 1 species
GAAACCGCGCGCCGGCCGGCAGCGCCCGGGACGGCCCUGCAGAGCUUUCCCGAGGGGGCGUCGGCUCAGCCCGGCGCUCGGGGCUGCUACGGUGGUUCGGGUCGGAGACCCCUGAGAUCGUAAAGAUUUGUCCAGUGAGGUGCAGACGGUUCCAGAGACAAGGAAACGGUCACUGGGGAGAGAGAAAGUGGAUUGUCAGGUUCCGGGACCUGCAGAGUGGCCAGUGUGACUAGAGAGUGAGUGGUAGGAGAAAAGAUUUUGUGUGCGGCAGAGGCAUCUCAUCACUCACCUGAGUAAACAGCUGGGAUCUUUCUGUUCAGAGAUGAGCCACCAUGCUCCUUAUGGUGGAGAGUCCUUGGAGACCCAGAAGAUCAUAGACAGCCCCCAGGAGGGCUCUAUGCUGGCAGUCUAAAGACAGAAAUAGCCAUGCGGUGGCUGUUAAAGGGCUGAGACUGUUGCGUGCUUUCUUGUGAUAGAUGGUAGGACUCAGCUCGGAAGAGGCUGACUCCAGAUGGGACUUGAGGGAAAACGGGAAGAAACCGUGCCAUUACUCUGCACUUGAAGGAGCAUCUUUAGCCUGACAGGAUAAUGAACAUACUUCCUCUUUCAGUCAGGUUUACUGCAUGGCCGAGAGAGUGGUAGCUAUGUUGCAUAUUUUUGCCUGGGAUUCUUAGGGUUGGAGAAGACAAAAGUCAAAUCCAGAGGUAAGCUUACACCUGGGGAUCAAAUGGCAGUUUGUCUGGUAGGUUGGGUCUCUUGGAACUGUCUCCAAGAUGAAAAGAUCGGUGGUGUGGAGGAUAUUUAUUAGGGGGCUCUUUUAGGACCAUUUUCUGUGGGGAAAAGGAAGGAAGUGGAAUUAAUCCAGUCAGCUGCGGGCCCAGGAGGUUUUGACAGAUUAAUAGAGAGCUCUCAAGCUAAGGUGGGUGUUUUGAGUUCUGUCAGGACAAAGGGACUAAGUCUUCUAGUACUGACUAGGUAUUAGGUGCUAUCUACCCCAGGAAUUGGGCGUAGUCUUGGGGGAAGCCGCAUAUAAAGCUGGUUCAUCAAGAAGACAGCAGAGGGCUGGGAGAUGGCUUGGUCAGUAAGGUGCUUGCUGUGUAAGAAGGAGGUCUUGCUUGAAACCCAUGUGAGCCCAGGCACAGUGCCUAUGACCCUCUUGCUGGGGGAGCUAGAGACAGGAGGGUCCCUGUAGCCUGCUGACCAGAUAGAUAGUCUACACAAGCAAGGAAACACGCACAAAUACCCUUAAAAGACUUGUAUCAGAUCACUCGACCUACAACCCUCCCCAUAGCUGGGGACCAGUCCCUCUGUCCUGAGGGGGCACCUGUAUUACAAAGUGUGAUCUUGUAGUUUAUUCUGUAACUUGGUCAUCAUAAAGUGUGUAACUUGGUCAUCAUAAAGUGUUUGGGGUUUUGGGUUUGAGGUUUCCUCAGUGUAGCCUUAACUGUCAUGAAACUUGCUCUGUAGACCAGGCUGGGCUUGAACUCAGAGACCCACCUGCCUCUGCCUCUUGAGUGUUGGGGUCAUUUAAAGGCAAGUGCCACCACCCUGACAGGACCUUAGGUAGUCCAGGCUGGUAUGGAAUUUAUACCCUGCCUCUGUCUUCCAAGAGCUGGGAUGACAGGUAUGCGGUACCAUGUCUGCCUAGUAAAUUUUCAAUUCCUCAGCAUCUUCACGUAAAGUCGACUACGGG